rnacentral:lncRNA from 1 species
GCCGCCGGGACGGGCUACUGGAAGGCGACCGGCGCCGACAAGCCCAUCGGCACCCCCAAGCCCAUGGCCAUUAAGAAGGCCCUCGUCUUCUACUCUGGGAAGGCCCCCAAGGGCGAGAAGACCAACUGGAUCAUGCACGAGUACCGCCUCGCCGACGUCGACCGUACCGCCCGCAGGAAGAACAGCUUGAGGGUAUGCUCCAUCUCUCUCUCUCUCUCUCUGUUUACCUCUGUGCUUCUCUAUCAUUCUCGCCUCGAUCUGGGCUUACUGAUUUCUUUUACUUGCGUGUGGAUGUGCAGCUGGACGAUUGGGUACUGUGCAGGAUCUACAACAAGAAGGGCGGCGCGGAGAAACAGAUGAACGCUGACCGCAGGGCGGCAGCGGCCUCUAGAGGCCCGCUUCUGGCUC